rnacentral:rRNA from 1 species
CAGGCUUAACACAUGCAAGUCGAGGGGCAGCAUGGUCUUAGCUUGCUAAGGCCGAUGGCGACCGGCGCACGGGUGAGUAACACGUAUCCAACCUGCCGUCUACUCUUGGACAGCCUUCUGAAAGGAAGAUUAAUACAAGAUGGCAUCAUGAGUCCGCAUGUUCACAUGAUUAAAGGUAUUCCGGUAGACGAUGGGGAUGCGUUCCAUUAGAUAGUAGGCGGGGUAACGGCCCACCUAGUCUUCGAUGGAUAGGGGUUCUGAGAGGAAGGUCCCCCACAUUGGAACUGAGACACGGUCCAAACUCCUACGGGAGGCAGCAGUGAGGAAUAUUGGUCAAUGGGCGAGAGCCUGAACCAGCCAAGUAGCGUGAAGGAUGACUGCCCUAUGGGUUGUAAACUUCUUUUAUAAAGGAAUAAAGUCGGGUAUGGAUACCCGUUUGCAUGUACUUUAUGAAUAAGGAUCGGCUAACUCCGUGCCAGCAGCCGCGGUAAUACGGAGGAUCCGAGCGUUAUCCGGAUUUAUUGGGUUUAAAGGGAGCGUAGAUGGAUGUUUAAGUCAGUUGUGAAAGUUUGCGGCUCAACCGUAAAAAUUGCAGUUGAUACUGGAUAUCUUGAGUGCAGUUGAGGCAGGCGGAAUUCGUGGUGUAGCGGUGAAAUGCUUAGAUAUCACGAAGAACUCCGAUUGCGAAGGCAGCCCUGCUAAGCUGCAACUGACAUUGAGGCUCGAAAGUGUGGGUAUCAAACAGGAUUAGAUACCCUGGUAGUCCACACGGUAAACGAUGAAUACUCGCUGUUUGCGAUAUACAGCAAGCGGCCAAGCGAAAGCGUUAAGUAUUCCACCUGGGGAGUACGCCGGCAACGGUGAAACUCAAAGGAAUUGACGGGGGCCCGCACAAGCGGAGGAACAUGUGGUUUAAUUCGAUGAUACGCGAGGAACCUUACCCGGGCUUAAAUUGCAGAUGAAUUACGGUGAAAGCCGUAAGCCGCAAGGCAUCUGUGAAGGUGCUGCAUGGUUGUCGUCAGCUCGUGCCGUGAGGUGUCGGCUUAAGUGCCAUAACGAGCGCAACCCUUGUUGUCAGUUACUAACAGGUUCCGCUGAGGACUCUGACAAGACUGCCAUCGUAAGAUGUGAGGAAGGUGGGGAUGACGUCAAAUCAGCACGGCCCUUACGUCCGGGGCUACACACGUGUUACAAUGGGGGGUACAGAGGGCCGCUACCACGCGAGUGGAUGCCAAUCCCCAAAACCUCUCUCAGUUCGGACUGGAGUCUGCAACCCGACUCCACGAAGCUGGAUUCGCUAGUAAUCGCGCAUCAGCCACGGCGCGGUGAAUACGUUCCCGGGCCUUGUACACACCGCCCGUCAAGCCAUGGGAGCCGGGGGUACCUGAAGUGCGUAACCGCGAGGAGCGCCCUAGGGUAAAACUGGUGACUGGGGCUAAGUCAUAAC